CUCUGUAUGUGGGGCGCUUAGACCGCUAGGCCACCAGCGCCCCUCCGCCUUUGUUUUGACAGACAUUAUUUGAAGACGCACUUUCAAUCGGCUUUUCUAGUUUUCUCAUUGAACUCCUGAGCAUUAAAGAAAGUCGGUAACGGUAAGUCAGUACGGCGCACAGUGGACGCAGACUGCAGCUGUAUGAGAGCUACUGUUAUUCUGAGUCCUAAAGAUCCAGAGAAACUGUUGUUACCAAGUCCCACUAGUUAUCUCAGUUUGUUGGCAUGAGCUCAGAUUGUACGCCCCUGCACCGCCAGGUGUGGCUCAGUGCAGCUGCAUGCAGACACACCUGUGGGCAAUCCCAAUCUGUGCAACUACAUAAACCUGGUCCUCCUGCCACUUCAGUGCCGGAUUAUUCCUUCGCCACUGCCAUCGCCCAGCACACAGGGUUUUUCCCCAGGCCAGCGUCUGGAGCCAGCAUCCUGGAUUUUCUGUUUUCUUUAGUUUUGUGUGUAAUAAACUGACUGAAUUCUCCACUUUGUCUCCGUCUCAGCUCUGGGUCCCCACAACUGGGAGCACACCCUGACAUUAAAACUGCGAACGCACAGAUUUUAAACUCAGAUGUUAAUUCUACAAGCUGUCAUGUUCUAAAUUGAGUCAUUACUGUCAAUUAACAAAGAACGAGACAUAAAUAAACCAAACAGAACAGGAUGGGAUCAUCAUCCAUAUGUUAUAAAAGACUGGUCGAAUUUU